UACGAAGGGGGCUAGCGUUGCUCGGAAUCACUGGGCGUAAAGCGCACGUAGGCGGUCUUUUAAGUCGGGGGUGAAAUCCUGGAGCUCAACUCCAGAACUGCCUUCGAUACUGGAAGACUCGAGUCCGGGAGAGGUGAGUGGAACUGCGAGUGUAGAGGUGAAAUUCGUAGAUAUUCGCAAGAACACCAGUGGCGAAGGCG
rnacentral:rRNA from 1 species